rnacentral:tRNA from 1 species
GCCGAGGUAGCUCAGCAGUAGAGCCUCAAGGUAGCGUAGGUGCAACUCCUACCCUCGGCA